AGCGAACAUUGGCGGUAGGCUUAACACAUGCAAGUCGAGCGAGGCGUAAUAGUCGAGCGGCGAACGGGUGAGUAACACAUGGGAAUCUACCCUGAAGUGGGGGAUAACGUUCAGAAAUGAACGCUAAUACCGCAUAAUCCACAUUGGGAAAGCGUUGCAGCGCUUUAGGAUGAGCCCAUGGCUGAUUAGCUAGUUGGUGAGGUAAUGGCUCACCAAGGCGACGAUCAGUAGCUGGUCUGAGAGGAUGAUCAGCCACACUGGAACUGAGACACGGUCCAGACUCCUACGGGAGGCAGCAGUGGGGAAUCUUGCGCAAUGGGGGCAACCCUGACGCAGCCAUACCGCGUGAGUGAUGAAGGUCUUCGGAUUGUAAAGCUCUUUCGGCGGGGACGACGAUGACGGUACCCGCAAAAGAAGUCACGGCUAACUUCGUGCCAGCAGCCGCCGUAA
rnacentral:rRNA from 1 species